AUCCAGCUGACGAGUCCCGGAUAGGAUGGGACACGCGUCCUGGAU
rnacentral:hammerhead_ribozyme from 1 species